CUCAGCUGAGCCUGGUAGAUGCCAGCUGACCGGCUGCAGCCCCUGAGUAGAGGUUGGCUGUCCUAGCAAUAGAGUAGGGCGGGGGCACAGCAGACAUGGGACCAUCAUCUGGAUUCCUAGACGUGCAACUGCAAGUUUGGGAUGUGAUGGAGAACGAGCUGCACAAGUCUCUGGGCUCCUGUAAAAGAUUGGUUGCAGAAAUGUCCUCAGAGUUGUUGGGAGGAUUCAAUAGAAGAUGCAUGCAAAGCACCUGGCUGAAUGCCCAGAGCCCUGCAGACACUCAGGAAUGAGUAACCAUGCAGAUUUUCUACGCCUUUAGACCAGAUAUUCUAAGAAACUUCCUGCUAUAGAUUAACUAGAUCCUGAUUGUGUUUUUCAUUUCCAGGCUUAGAAGAAAUAAAGGAAAUAUCCCAGGAGCAAAAACAAAACACACACAUGCUCCUCUCAAGAGUCACUGGCAUCCCAGCUGAAAAGUCAGCUCUACACCUAUGGGACCUAUGGGCCUGUUUCUGAGCUCUGUUUUGUCUCUUUGGUCUGAGUGUCUAUCUGAGGCCAAUACCACAGUACCAAAUGCGAUUGCUUUAGAGGAAGUCUUGAAAUCAGAUGAGCCGACUAGGAUUCCUGGCACCAUCGUGAACGGCUCUGGUGGGCACAGGCAGCCCUCUGCUGCUUCUGAUCUUAGAGAAAUGAAAAUAAAGUCAGCCUCCAUAAAAUUAUGAAGAAGAAAGGCAGUAUCAUAAUGAUUAUGCAGGAACCAAGGACUGGCCUGGAAGAUGGGCCCCCAAGCUCACAGGGACACCAGCAGGCACUGCUUCUAGACAUGGAGCCUCAGUUCCAGAAUGUCCCGUGACAUGACCAGGAGUAGGGAACCAGCCCUCCCGACCUCCAUGUCUUAUUUGCCAGGCAGGGGUAACUGCAGGCUGGCCCUGACCAGGAUGACCACUGGCUCCCACUGUGGAUGCAUUUCGUGCGUGGCCUGCAUUGGACAUCGGCUCACCCAUGUGCUGGGGUGUCCAGGGUCCAGGGGAAGCUCCAGGACACAUUUGAGGAUCAGGAGAGCAACCUGCAUAGUGCAGGACUCUUGUCAGGGAGACCACGACCCGGGAGCCUUUCCUAGAAGACACAGAGUCCCCAAAAAUACCUGUGACAAGGGUCUCAUCACAGCACUGUCUGAGAGUGCUUGGAGAGAGGGAACCUGCCUGCAGCUGUUCCCAGAGCAGUGGGGCGGGGGACACUCCCCUACUGAAGAAGGCAUUUCCUUUUGGCGCCUCCAGUUCCCCCUGCCAGGACGUCAGCACCCAGGCUCUGAUGUGGGCUGCUGGGGGCCACGGCACUGCAAUGCUGCCCUGGAUUGAAUGGGGCGGGGGCUAUAGAUGUAUAAUACAAGUUGGAUUUUAGAGACUUGGUAUGUGGCAUAGAGUCUCAAAUGUCCAAAGAUGUGUCGCAUUGAUUUCAGGGUGAGUGGAUAGUUGUUCUGAUAUACUGAGUUCAGUAAAAUACAUCGGCAGCAGGAAUUUUACCGGUUACUGUUUCGUUUUUGUAAAUAUGGCUACCACAAAAUAUAAGGGCACGCAGGUUCACGCCCUCACCCAGCACUGGCCUCCCCUUCCCAGACAAUCAGCCACAUCUUCGCCUGCCAGCAUGGCCCCUUGUUCUCAGGGCUCCUGCCCUCAUGCUCCUGUGUCCUCCAGUCCCCCUGCCCUCUAGGAAGCCUCGUGGCUGAUGGGGCUUUGCUCAACCUGGUCUCGCGCUCACCUCCACCUUUGGCUCUAAGGCUUGUCAUCCCUAA
rnacentral:lncRNA from 1 species